rnacentral:tRNA from 1 species
AUUUAAAUAGCUUAUAAAGAGCAUAAUAUUGAAGAUAUUAAGGAGAUAAGAGUUAUCUUUAAAUA